rnacentral:rRNA from 1 species
UACGUAGGGUGCGAGCGUGUCCGGAAUUAUUGGGCGUAAAGAGCUCGUAGGCGGUUCGUCGCGUCGGCUGUGAAAACCCGGAGCUCAACUCCGGGCCUGCAGUCGAUACGGGCGGACUUGAGUGUUGGCAGGGGAGACUGGAAUUCCUGGUGUAGCGGUGAAAUGCGCAGAUAUCAGGAGGAACACCGGUGGCGAAGGCGGGUCUCUGGGACGGUACUGACGCUGAGACGCGAAAGCGU